CCUACGGGAGGCAGCAGUAGGGAAUUUUCGUCAAUGGGCGCAAGCCUGAACGAGCAAUGUCGCGUGAACGAGGAAGGUCUUCGGAUCGUAAAGUUCUGUUGAAGGGGAAAAAGAGCGGAGAGAGGAAAUGAACUCCGAUUGAUAUUACCCUUCGAGGAAGUCACGGCUAACUACGUGCCAGCAGCCGCGGUAAUACGUAGGUGGCGAGCGUUAUCCGGAAUGAUUGGGCGUAAAGGGUGCGUAGGCGGCCUGUUAAGUCUGGGGGGAAGGGUACCGGCUCAACCGGUACAGGAUCUGGAAACUGGCGGGCUAGAGAGCAGGAGAGGGCGGUGGAACUCCAUGUGUAGCGGUAAAAUGCGUAGAUAUAUGGAAGAACACCAGUGGCGAAGGCGGCCGCCUGGCCUGUUACUGACGCUGAGGCACGAAAGCGUGGGGAGCAAAUAGGAUUAGAUACCCCAGUAGUC
rnacentral:rRNA from 1 species